GCCCUCGGGGCACCGCGCCGGGCCCGCCCGCGGCCCCGCGGCCCGGGCAGCCCGGCAGCAACCGGCCCCGGGCGCGGAUGGGUCCGGUGCUCGGCGACUCGGGGCGUUCCGCAGAGCUCUGUCAAGCCUGAAGUGUGAGUUCCUACACAGCCGGUAGUUGAGGUUUGGUCUCAGUCUUCUGCAGCGGCUCCAGCUCCCUGGUCCUUUGUGUUCUGGGAAGCUGGGGACGAAGGUUGGUGCAAAGCCUAGCCGAACGGGACUUUUUCUGUGACAGCUUGCACUAGGCUCUAAAUCCCCCUCUAAGUGGCUCUAGCAAGGAAUACAAAACAUACUGACAAAGGAGUGCCCUAAGAAGCUCGUUUCAAGUCAGAAGACAGCAAGUUUUGCCAGUGGGUGGCACUGUGAAAUAGACUUGAGAGGAGCAGAGAAAAGGAAAAGCAAGCGGUACAGCAAGAAAAAGACAAGACAGGAGAAUAACUGUUGGAAAUCAAAUACUUCUGACACAUUUACAGAAUUUAUGGGUUUUCAAUAUUUGUUUACUGUUAUAAUUUCACACUUUCCACGUUACAUAUUGCAUUGUGAAACUGCUGUGUACUGCUAUCAGGAAAUAAACAUUUUGGAACAUAUGGUUCUUGACCAG